UACGGAGGAUGCAAGCGUUAUCCGGAAUGAUUGGGCGUAAAGCGUUUUAAGGUGGUUUGGUAAGUCUACUGUUAAAUAUCAGGGCUUAACCCUGAACAUGGCAGUGGAAACUAGCAAAGCUUGAGUACGGUAGGGGCAAAGGGAAUUCCCGGUGUAGCGGUGAAAUGGCGUAGAUAUCGGGAAGAACACCAAAGGCGAAAGGCACUUUGCUGGGCCGAAACUGACACUGAUAGACGAAAGCUAGGGGAGCAAAUGGG
rnacentral:rRNA from 1 species